rnacentral:rRNA from 1 species
UGGGGAAUUUUGCGCAAUGGGGGGAACCCUGACGCAGCAACGCCGCGUGCGGGACGAAGGCCUUCGGGUUGUAAACCGCUUUCAGCAGGGAAGAUCCAAGACGGUACCUGCAGAAGAAGCUCCGGCUAACUACGUGCCAGCAGCCGCGGUAAUACGUAGGGGGCGAGCGUUAUCCGGAUUCAUUGGGCGUAAAGCGCGCGUAGGCGGCCGCCUAAGCGGAACCUCUAAUCCCGGGGCUCAACCUCGGGCCGGGUUCCGGACUGGGCGGCUCGAGUGCGGUAGAGGCAGGCGGAAUUCCCGGUG